GAUCCUGGGCUCAGGAUGAACGCUAGCUACAGGCUUAACACAUGCAAGUCGUGGGGCAGCAUGGGAGAUGCUUGCAUUUCCCGAUGGCGACCGGCGCACGGGUGAGUAACGCGUAUCCAACCUGCCCUUCACUCCGGCACAGCCCGUCGAAAGACGGAUUAAUGCGGGAUGCAGUCAGAAAGAUGCAUAUUAAUUUGACGAAAGGUCUUCGGGCCGGUGAGGGAUGGGG
rnacentral:rRNA from 1 species